CUAUCAUACACGAGGGAGGCUGAUUGUGAGCGUGCUGCCUGUAAACACUUUCGGACGCGUUCGGUCGUCAUCUCCUGGCCUGCUCGACCUUCUGCAUCCUAAUCUGCUCCCUGAACUUGGCUAUGAACUCGUCGGCCUUCCUGUCCACCUCGCCCUCCACCUCCGUCUCCGUUUCCCCCUCCAGUCCCGGUCUCGUCGCCAGCUCAAAGAGCUCCUCGUUGCACGAGUUGACGCCGUCGUCCUCACUCACCCCAUCAUCUUCGCAGCUGUUUUCCUCCUUGAUGGUGUCAUCGUCGAGAUCACUGCUAAACGAGCUGUCCGACGUUGCAACCAUCUCACCCAACGUCUCGUCGCCUG
rnacentral:misc_RNA from 1 species